rnacentral:rRNA from 1 species
CCUGGUUGAUCCUACCAGUAGUCAUAUGCUUUUAUCAAAGAUUAAGCCAUGCAUGUCUAAGUAUGAACCAAUUCAGACUGUGAAACUGUGGAUGGCUCACUAAAUCAGUGAUACUAUUUUUGAUGGUACCAUACUACUCAGAUAACUAUAGAAAUUCUAGAGCUAAUACGUGCACCAAGUCCUGACUCUUUAGAAGGGAAGCAUUUUUUAGAUAAAAGGUCGGCUUGGGCUUGCCCGCUUCUCCGGUGAAUCAUGAUAACUCAACGGAUUGCACAACCCUUGUGGUGGCGAUGCUUCAUUCAAAUUUCUGCCCUAUCAACUUUCGAUGGUGGGAUACAUGCCUACCAUGGUGGUGAUAGGUGACGGAGAAUUAGGGUUUGAUUCCGGAGAGGGAGCCUGAGAAAUGGCUACCACAUCCAAGGAAGGCAACAAGCGCACAAAUUACCCAAUCCUGAAAUGGGGAGGUAGUGAUAAUAAAUAACAAUACUGGGCUCAUCGAGUCUGGUAAUUGGAAUGAGUACAAUCUAAAUCCCUUAACGAGGAUCCAUUGGAGGGCAAGUCUGGUGCCAGCAGCCAGGGUAAUUCCAGCUCCAAUAGCGUAUAUUUAAGUUGUUACAGUUAAAAAGCUCGUAGUUGGAUCUUGGGUCAUAAAGGUCAGUUCGCCUACUUGGUGUGUACCUGCCCUUCCGUCCCUUUUGUCGUUGGCGUGCUCCUAGGCUUAAUUGGCUGGGUCGCAGCUCCGACGCUGUUACUUUGAAAAAUUUAGAGUUCUCAAAGCAAGCUUAUGCUCUAAAUACAUUAGCAUGGAAUAACGUGAUAGGAGUUUGGUGCUAUUAUGUUGGCCUUCAGGACCGGAGUAAUGAUUAAUAGGGACUAUCGGGGGUAUUCGUAUUUCAUUGUCAGAGGUGAAAUUCUUGGAUUUAUGAAAGAUGGACCACUGCGAAAGCAUUUGCCAAGGAUGUUUUCAUUAAUGAAGAACGAAAGUUGGGGGCUCGAAGAUGAUUAGAUACCGUCCUAGUCUCAACCAUAAACGAUGCUGACCAGGGAUCGACGGAUGUUUCUCUAAGGACUCUGCUAGAACCUUCUGAAAAAUCAGAGUGUUUGGGUUCCAGGGGGAGUAUGGUCGCAAGGCUAAAAAUUAAAGGAAUUGACAAAAGGGCACCACCAAAAGUGGAGCAUGUGGCUUAAUUUGACUCAAUGGAAGGAAACUUACCAGGUCCAGACAUAGUAAGGAUUGACAAAUUGAGAGCUCUUUCUUGAUUCUAUGGGUGGUGGUUCAUGGUCAUUCUUAGUUGGUGGAGUGAUUUGUCUGGUUAAUUCCGAUAACGAAUGAGACCUCAGCCUACUAACUAGCUACGUGGAGGUACCCCUUCGUGGCCAACUUCUUAGAGGGACUAUGGCCGUUUAGGCCAUGGAAGUUUGAGGCAAUAAUAGGUCUGUGAUGCCCUUAGAUGUUCUGGGCCACACGUGUGCUACACUGAUGCAGCCAAUGAGUUUUUCUUCCUAGCUCAAGAGGAUCGAGAAAUCUUCUCAAAUUGCAUUGUGAUGGGGAUAGACCAUUGAAAUUAUUGGUCUUCAACAAGGAAUUCCUAGUAAGCGCGUGUCAUCAACUCGUGUUGACUACGUCCCUACCCUUUGUACACACCACCCAUCACUCCUACUGAUUGAAUGAUCUGGUGAAGUGUUCGGAUUGCGUCGACAAUGGUGGUUCAUCGCCAUCGACCUCAUGAGAAGUUCAUUGAACCUUAUCAUUUAGAGGAAGGAGAAGUCAUAACAAGGUUACCAUACUUGAACCUGCGGUAG